AGCGAACGCUGGCGGCAGGCCUAACACAUGCAAGUCGAACGAAGUCUUCGGACUUAGUGGCGGACGGGUGAGUAACACGUGGGAACGUGCCUUUAGGUUCGGAAUAACUCAGGGAAACUUGUGCUAACACCGAAUGUGCCCUUCGGGGGAAAGAUUUAUCGCCUUUAGAGCGGCCCGCGUCUGAUUAGCUAGUUGGUGGGGUAAUGGCCCACCAAGGCUACGAUCAGUAGCUGGUCUGUGAGGAUGACCAGCCACAUUGGGACUGAGACACGGCCCAAACUCCUACGGGAGGCAGCAGUGGGGAAUCUUGCGCAAUGGGCGAAAGCCUGACGCAGCCAUGCCGCGUGGAUGAUGAAGGUCUUAGGAUUGUAAAAUCCUUUCACCGGUGAAGAUAAUGACUGUAGCCGGAGAAGAAGCCCCGGCUAACUUCGUGCCAGCAGCCGCAGUAACAC
rnacentral:rRNA from 1 species